CGAAGGGGGCUAGCGUUGCUCGGAAUUACUGGGCGUAAAGCGCACGUAGGCGGAUUGUUAAGUCGGGGGUGAAAUCCUGGAGCUCAACUCCAGAACUGCCUUCGAUACUGGCGAUCUCGAGUCCGGGAGAGGUGAGUGGAACUGCGAGUGUAGAGGUGAAAUUCGUAGAUAUUCGCAAGAACACCAGUGGCGAAGGCGGCUCACUGGCCCGGUACUGACGCUGAGGUGCGAAAGCGUGGGGAGCAAACAGGACUAGAUACCCUGGUAGUCCACGCUGUAAACGAUGGAUGCUAGCCGUUGGCGAGCUUGCUCGUCAGUGGCGCAGCUAACGCUUUAAGCAUCCCGCCUGGGGAGUACGGUCGCAAGAUUA
rnacentral:rRNA from 1 species